rnacentral:lncRNA from 1 species
GAUGCUGACGUCCCUCCUCCCUCUUCUAUCCUCUUCUUCCUCCUCACCUCCUCCUUUUCCUCAUCAUCCUCCCCCUCCAAGCCCUUCCCCCUCCUCCCCUUUCUCCCUCCCACUCCUCCUCCUCCUCCUUCAAGUCGUUCCUCCUCCUCUCCUUUUAAAAGAAAAGUACUCUAUAAGUCAAUCGUAUGAGUGAUAUGAUGGAAUUUUUCUUUGUAAACUUCAACUC